AGUGAACGCUGGCGGUAGGCCUAACACAUGCAAGUCGAACGGCAGCACAGUAAGAGCUUGCUCUUACGGGUGGCGAGUGGCGGACGGGUGAGGAAUACAUCGGAAUCUACUUUUUCGUGGGGGAUAACGUAGGGAAACUUACGCUAAUACCGCAUACGACCUACGGGUGAAAGCAGGGGAUCUUCGGACCUUGCGCGAUUGAAUGAGCCGAUGUCGGAUUAGCUAGUUGGCGGGGUAAAGGCCCACCAAGGCGACGAUCCGUAGCUGGUCUGAGAGGAUGAUCAGCCACACUGGAACUGAGACACGGUCCAGACUCCUACGGGAGGCAGCAGUGGGGAAUAUUGGACAAUGGGCGUAAGCCUGAUCCAGCCAUACCGCAUGGGUGAAGAAGGCCUUCGGGUUGUAAAGCCCUUUUGUUGGGAAAGAAAAGCAGCAGGUUAAUACCCCGCUGUUCUGACGGUACCCAAAGAAUAAGCACCGGCUAACUUCGUG
rnacentral:rRNA from 1 species